UUCCUUGAACCGCAUGGUUCAAGGAUGAAAGACGGUUUCGGCUGUCACUUACAGAUGGACCCGCGGCGCAUUAGCUAGUUGGUGGGGUAAUGGCUCACCAAGGCGACGAUGCGUAGCCGACCUGAGAGGGUGAUCGGCCACACUGGGACUGAGACACGGCCCAGACUCCUACGGGAGGCAGCAGUAGGGAAUCUUCCGCAAUGGACGAAAGUCUGACGGAGCAACGCCGCGUGAGUGAUGAAGGUUUUCGGAUCGUAAAGCUCUGUUGUUAGGGAAGAACAAGUGCGAGAGUAACUGCUCGCACCUUGACGGUACCUAACCAGAAAGCCACGGCUAACUACGUGCCAGCAGCCGCGGUAAUACGUAGGUGGCAAGCGUUGUCCGGAAUUAUUGGGCGUAAAGGGCUCGCAGGCGGUUUCUUAAGUCUGAUGUGAAAGCCCCCGGCUCAACCGGGGAGGGUCAUUGGAAACUGGGAAACUUGAGUGCAGAAGAGGAGAGUGGAAUUCCACGUGUAGCGGUGAAAUGCGUAGAGAUGUGGAGGAACACCAGUGGCGAAGCGACUCUCUGGUCUGUAACUGACGCU
rnacentral:rRNA from 1 species